rnacentral:rRNA from 1 species
AGAGUUUGAUCAUGGCUCAGAUUGAACGCUGGCGGCAGGCCUAACACAUGCAAGUCGAGCGGUAACACAGAGAGCUUGCUCUCGGGUGACGAGCGGCGGACGGGUGAGUAAUGUCUGGGAAACUGCCUGAUGGAGGGGGAUAACUACUGGAAACGGUAGCUAAUACCGCAUAACGUCGCAAGACCAAAGUGGGGGACCUUCGGGCCUCAUGCCAUCAGAUGUGCCCAGAUGGGAUUAGCUAGUAGGUGGGGUAACGGCUCACCUAGGCGACGAUCCCUAGCUGGUCUGAGAGGAUGACCAGCCACACUGGAACUGAGACACGGUCCAGACUCCUACGGGAGGCAGCAGUGGGGAAUAUUGCACAAUGGGCGCAAGCCUGAUGCAGCCAUGCCGCGUGUGUGAAGAAGGCCUUCGGGUUGUAAAGCACUUUCAGCGGGGAGGAAGGCGGUGAGGUUAAUAACCUCAUCGAUUGACGUUACCCGCAGAAGAAGCACCGGCUAACUCCGUGCCAGCAGCCGCGGUAAUACGGAGGGUGCAAGCGUUAAUCGGAAUUACUGGGCGUAAAGCGCACGCAGGCGGUCUGUCAAGUCGGAUGUGAAAUCCCCGGGCUCAACCUGGGAACUGCAUUCGAAACUGGCAGGCUAGAGUCUUGUAGAGGGGGGUAGAAUUCCAGGUGUAGCGGUGAAAUGCGUAGAGAUCUGGAGGAAUACCGGUGGCGAAGGCGGCCCCCUGGACAAAGACUGACGCUCAGGUGCGAAAGCGUGGGGAGCAAACAGGAUUAGAUACCCUGGUAGUCCACGCCGUAAACGAUGUCGAUUUGGAGGUUGUGCCCUUGAGGCGUGGCUUCCGGAGCUAACGCGUUAAAUCGACCGCCUGGGGAGUACGGCCGCAAGGUUAAAACUCAAAUGAAUUGACGGGGGCCCGCACAAGCGGUGGAGCAUGUGGUUUAAUUCGAUGCAACGCGAAGAACCUUACCUGGUCUUGACAUCCACAGAACUUAGCAGAGAUGCUUUGGUGCCUUCGGGAACUGUGAGACAGGUGCUGCAUGGCUGUCGUCAGCUCGUGUUGUGAAAUGUUGGGUUAAGUCCCGCAACGAGCGCAACCCUUAUCCUUUGUUGCCAGCGGUUCGGCCGGGAACUCAAAGGAGACUGCCAGUGAUAAACUGGAGGAAGGUGGGGAUGACGUCAAGUCAUCAUGGCCCUUACGACCAGGGCUACACACGUGCUACAAUGGCAUAUACAAAGAGAAGCGACCUCGCGAGAGCAAGCGGACCUCAUAAAGUAUGUCGUAGUCCGGAUUGGAGUCUGCAACUCGACUCCAUGAAGUCGGAAUCGCUAGUAAUCGUAGAUCAGAAUGCUACGGUGAAUACGUUCCCGGGCCUUGUACACACCGCCCGUCACACCAUGGGAGUGGGUUGCAAAAGAAGUAGGUAGCUUAACCUUCGGGAGGGCGCUUACCACUUUGUGAUUCAUGACUGGGGUGAAGUCGUAACAAGGUAACCGUAGGGGAACCUGCGGUUGGAUCACCU